AAACUACUCCCUCCGUUCGGAAUUACUUGUCUCGGAAAUGGAUGUAUGUAGAACUAAAAUACGUCUAGAUACAUCCAUUUCUGCGACAAGUAAUUCCGAACGGAGGGAGUACGUA
rnacentral:pre_miRNA from 1 species